CCGUGGUUGGGAGCAGGGCCGGACUGGGGAAAAAAUUAGGCCCGGGCAUUUUUCAAUUAGAGCGGCCCCCCAAAAAGGGGGCAGGGCCAGAGAAAGUGAGCAUGUUGGUUCAAUGCGCAGAGCCCCGCUGAAGAGCUCUAGCAUUAGAAAAAGGCCCUGUAUUUGUUCUGCGCAGCGCAAGCAAAUGUAAUAACAUGCUUGCGCUGUGUUUGCUUUUAAAUUGUCUCUGGUGUCUCCACAAGUGGGAUACCAGAGGACAAAAGGGCCAGGAAAGUGUAUG
rnacentral:lncRNA from 1 species